rnacentral:ncRNA from 1 species
CAACCUCAACUCAUAUGGGGACUACCCCCUGAAAUUUAAGCAUAUUAAUUAAGGGGAGGAAAAGAAACUAACAAGGAUUUUCGUAGUAGCGGCGAGCGAAAAGAAAACAGUUCAGCACUGAGUCACUUUGUCUAUAUGGCAAAUGUGAGAUGCAGUGUAUGGAGCGUCAAUAUUCUAGUAUGAGAAAUUAAUGAGUUAAGUCCUUCUUAAAUGAGGCCAUUUACCCAUAGAGGAUGCCAAGCCCGUAUAACGUUAAUGAUUGCUAGAUGAUGUAUCAAAGAGUCGUGUUGCUCGAUAGUGCAGCACUAAGUGGGUGAUAGACUCCAUCUAACACUAAAUAUGAGUCAUGAGACCGAUAGUAAACAGCACCGGGGAGGGAAAGUUGAAAAGACUCUGAAUAGAGAGUAAACAGUACGUGGAAACUGCUAGAG